AUUGAACGCUGGCGGCAGGCCUAACACAUGCAAGUCGAACGAGUGGCGGACGGGUGAGUAAUGUCUGGGAAACUGCCCGAUGGAGGGGGAUAACUACUGGAAACGGUAGCUAAUACCGCAUACCAUCGGAUGUGCCCAGAUGGGAUUAGCUAGUAGGUGGGGUAACGGCUCACCUAGGCGACGAUCCCUAGCUGGCAUGAGAGGAUGACCAGCCACACUGAAACUGAUACACGGUCCGGACUCCUACGAGAGGCAGCAGUGGUGAAUAUUGCACCAUGGGCGAAAGCCUGGUGCAGCCAUGCCGCGUCAAUGAAGAAGUCCUUCGGGUUGUAAAGUACUUUCAGCGAGGAGACGUUACUCGCAGAAGAAGCACCGGCUAACUCCGUGCCAGCAGCCGCGGUAAUAC
rnacentral:rRNA from 1 species